rnacentral:rRNA from 1 species
CGACGUAGGUAACCUGCCUGGUAGUGGGGGAUAACUAUUGGAAACGAUAGCUAAUACCGCAUAAUAACAGUUGUUGCAUGACAACUGUUUUGAAAGGUGCAAUUGCAUCACUACCAGAUGGACCUGCGUUGUAUUAGCUAGUUGGUGGGGUAACGGCUCACCAAGGCGACGAUACAUAGCCGACCUGAGAGGGUGAUCGGCCACACUGGGACUGAGACACGGCCCAG